rnacentral:rRNA from 1 species
GCAGUCGACGGCAGCACGGACUUCGGUCUGGUGGCGAGUGGCGAACGGGUGAGUAAUAUAUCGGAACGUGCCCAGUCGUGGGGGAUAACGUAGUGAAAAUUACGCUAAUACCGCAUACGAUCUAAGGAUGAAAGCGGGGGAUCGCAAGACCUCGCGCGAUUGGAGCGGCCGAUAUCAGAUUAGGUAGUUGGUGAGGUAAAGGCUCACCAAGCCAACGAUCUGUAGCUGGUCUGAGAGGACGACCAGCCACACUGGAACUGAGACACGGUCCAGACUCCUACGGGAGGCAGCAGUGGGGAAUUUUGGACAAUGGACGCAAGUCUGAUCCAGCCAUUCCGCGUGCAGGACGAAGGCCUUCGGGUUGUAAACUGCUUUUGUACAGAACGAAAAGGUCUCUAUUAAUACUAGGGGCUCAUGACGGUACUGUAAGAAUAAGCACCGGCUAACUACGUGCCAGCAGCCGCGGUAAUACGCAGGGUGCAAGCGUUAAUCGGAAUUACUGGGCGUAAAGCGUGCGCAGGCGGUUAUAUAAGACAGAUGUGAAAUCCCCGGGCUCAACCUGGGAACUGCAUUUGUGACUGUAUAGCUGGAGUGCGGCAGAGGGGGAUGGAAUUCCGCGUGUAGCAGUGAAAUGCGUAGAUAUGCGGAGGAACACCGAUGGCGAAGGCAAUCCCCUGGGCCUGCACUGACGCUCAUGCACGAAAGCG